rnacentral:rRNA from 1 species
UACAGAGACUGCAAGCGUUAUUCGGAUUCACUGGGCGUAAAGGGUGCGUAGGUGGCGAGGUAAGUCGGAUGUGAAAGCUCGGAGCUCAACUCCGAAAUGGCAUUGGAAACUACCUUGCUCGAGGGUUGGAGGGGGGACUGGAAUUCUCGGUGUAGCAGUGAAAUGCGUAGAUAUCGAGAGGAACACCAGUGGCGAAGGCGAGUCCCUGGACAACUCCUGACACUGAGGCACGAAAGCUAGGGGAGCAAACAGGG